GAGUACAUUCUAUCUCCAGACCCCACUUGUGGGGUUACACUGGUGUUUGCUGCUCUUCAAGGUUGUGUCUAAGAAACAGUUGCUUUGGAACUCAAGCUUAGUAUACUUUUACUACUCAAGCGGGCUCGAUUUAGACUUGAACUUGAAAAGUCACAAUUUUAUUGGUCGUGACAGACGAAGCUUGAAAUUAUCCCUGCAGUGCAGAUAUCUGGUUUGCGAUCAUCACAUUGAAAGAUAAUCUGGAUCUGGAGCACGAUACAUGUAUACAGAUUUAAUGAAGAAUUGUACGUACCAAAUGUAAUAUUAGCUAGAAUGUAAAGAAAUGCUAAGAUAAUGACUGUAACAUCAUUUAACUGUUGAGAUGAUUAAAU
rnacentral:misc_RNA from 1 species